AAUAAAAAUAUAUAUUGAAAAUAUUAAACCAAGGCACAACUUUCUGUACACAAGAGAAUUGAAGGACUCAGAGUGAUUGCCUGUUUUCAAUUACCCUUUCACAUUUGAUAAUCAAGCUUAACAGAAAUGAAAUUAAAUUGGCUAAGACAUGACGGAUGAUUCCAAUUUAGAUUACUAAAGUUCACUAACAUACACUCUAAGCUAGCUGCAACCAAUUCAUGUGUUACAUUCACCAAACUAACCAAUUAACAAUCGCUAAAUAUAGUUCACAUUAACCUAAUACUAGCAGUCCACAUUAUUAAAGCUUAGUCCAUACCCAAAUCCCCACCAAUUCAAUGAACUAACAAUAAUCAAUUAAUAAAAAACAACUCAAACUAUUGAAAGACGAUCAUCAGACACCAUCCAAAAUGCAGAAUUCCAGUAGCUAUUUCAUUUCAACCUCAAAUUAGAGUUACAUGGAAUCGAACCAAAGAAUGUGUAUCUGGAAAUGUGGAGUAUAAAAUGAAAGAGAAGUAAGAAGCAGCAGUAGAAAACAAAAACACAACACAUAAAAGUAUUAGAAACCCAAAUAGAUCACAUAGAUCUACUUAAAUCAACACCAACAUGCCCGAGAAUAACCAGGAAAGUAGGACAACCAAUAGGCUAAAUCAAAUCAGCUUCAAGUAACCCAAAUAUCUUUGAGAAUGAACCAACACAUGCUCAGCAUCUUCAACACACCACAACAUAAUCAAAAUAUAGCUCAAUCGGACCUAGGGCUUUCCGAAAUCAGUGUAUAUCUCUGAAACCUGAACUUAGGAAAACUAGAAUUCCAAUGGAAUAGUAACUACUUUUUUUUUGUUUUUCUAUUAGAUUUUUCUAUUGUUUUUGAUUUUUGGAGUUUGAAUUUAAGUUUUUGGGUCUGAAAAAGUGAAGAGAGUGUUUGUGAGGGGUGAUUCUUAUGGUUGAAAAGAUGACCCCUCAACAAAGCAAAAUGCCUUCCUUUUAUAGGCACCCAGAAUGAGUUAUCAGACACCAAAAUUCCUUUUAAGCUAAUAAUUCCACUUUCAGUCCCUAAGCUUUUAACUUGAGACACAAGCAACUACCACUAUCAAACUACCACUUCUCCUAGAAGCCUCUAGUAAUUCCCUAGCACAGUCUCCAAAUGAAAUUCUCAAAUUGACUUUUUAUUAACUAAUUAUGCUAAGGAUUGACAACUAAACUAGACAUGGAUAUACUUAACUAUAUCAAAAAGUUAUCUAACUAAAACAAACAUUAAUCACACAGAACAUUACUCAAUUAUUAACCAAUUCGGUCAACAUCAGAAGUAAACCAUUACCACCUAUAGGUAUAACAGAAUUAAGAACAGAAAUCAAGCUAAACAGAAAAAUAUUUAAAACACAACUGCCAAAUUAAACUAAUCAGAGCGAACAACUAGCAGGCGAUAAUUAAACUAAAAAAACCAAAGCCAAUCAAACCCUCAGCAUUAACUAAUCAUGCAAACUUAUUAUUAUCGAAAUCAUUCUGACACUUUACUUGAAUCUACAUGCUAGCGAAAAAAUAGUGAUGGAGUAGUGAUUGAAACAGAAAGGGAAAUGAAGGGAACAAACUUACUAAACAAAGUCCGGCUAGUCUUCAAAGACAAAUUUAAACAAGUCUAAUGUGAAUUGAAUGCAAUUGGUCUUGAAUUCAUCAUGGGGAAGGUCCCAAGAACGUAUGGUACAAUUUUGGGGCUAAUAUAGGCGACUAGGGUUUUGAUUAGUGAAACUUCAAUCGAAUAUUUGAUCAAUUUUGGUGGGAUUCGAGGCAUGGGACUAGCGGUAUUUAAUAGAGGAGGUUGUGGUAGUUAUACAAUGUUAAUUUGGUGCCAUUUAGGAUUUGUAGUGUCAUGGCUGGAAAAAAUUUCGACGAAGACUCGAAGGGCUGGGCUGGGUUAUGAAUGGAGUUGUUUACAGAUUUUAGAUAAGGGAGAGAAGAGGAUCACGAGGUGUUAAUUUGGGAGAAUUUGGAGUGAUUAGCGUUCUGUGCCGGCUGCUCGGCCGGUGGAGUUUCAGAGAUGAGUACGAGGAAGAUAACAUGGUCAUUACGGUUAUACACACUCACUUAGACACUUAUAUUGAAAUAACAAGAACCAACAUGGGCCGCUGGAUUGGAGGGAGUCAAUGGCUGUGAUUAACUGACGCCUAACAACGUCAUUUCAUCUAGGGGUGAACCGGGUUAUGGAUUGGGC
rnacentral:lncRNA from 1 species